AAGCUCGUAGUUGAAUUUCGGGGUUAGUAGGUUGGUCAUGCCUCUGGUAUGUACUGGUCUCACUGAUUCCUCCUUCCUUAUGAACCGUAAUGCCAUUAAUUUGGUGUUGCGGGGAAUUUGGACUGUUACUUUGAAAAAAUUAGAGUGUUUAAAGCAAGCUAACGCUUGAAUACAUUAGCAUGGAAUAAUGAAAUAGGACGUCCGAUCUUAUUUUGUUGGUUUCUAGGAUUGACGUAAUGAUUAAUAGGGAUAGUUGGG
rnacentral:rRNA from 1 species